UAUACCUAGGCGCCAAAUGAAAAUUUUUUGGGUCUAAUUUCUCUCAGCCAAAAUUUAAUACCUAAACCAACAUACCCAAACAAUUUCUCUCAGCCUCCAUUGCCGCCUCUCUGCCUCUCUUUCUUACACUCUGUUGCAGAGCUUAUUCUCCUCCAUUCACUUUCUUUCACACACUUAUCCUCUCUCACUCUUGUCUCGUCUCAUCUAUCUCUGCCUCACAAUGUCGGUACGAGCUUCCGGAACACACAACGGCGGUAUACUUGAGUUUAUGUCCUUCUAGAUUGAUCGAUAUUGGAAAAUUAUGACAAUGAUUACUUACAAUAGAUCUUCAGAACCUUUCAGUGGAUCUUAGGAAAAAACAAUCAACAUAUUUGAAGCAUUUACGACAGCAAAAGGAUGUAUGCUAUUUAUUUAUUCCAAAGACCUAUAAGGUUAGAAUAUGAGAGAACUACCUUAAAAUCCAUCUUUUUUGGGCUAGAAAAAGUACUUAUUGCAUACCUGUGCAAGGUACUUAUGGUCCCUCUAUUUCAGCCAUUAGUGCCAGCCCAGGUAAUAUGUAGUGAAAUAUUUUGGAUGCAAUUCUUAAAGUCAGUUUUCUUCCCAUAAAAGUUUAAUUCUUGAGUUGAUUAUUGAGCUUCCAUCAUGAAGAUUUCAUUCCCACAGUCAGUAACAAACCUCCAACCAAGACGGAUAAUGGGACUAUUCUGAUUUUAGGAUCUCCAACCAAGAAGAACAAGAGGACUGAUUGAUUGUAGGGGCUUCUGUUGGUAUUGGGGUUUCAAUAUUUUUCUGUGUGUUGGGAAUUCUAUAUUUUCUUCAAAGAAAAAAGAAUUCUCAAAACAACUACAACAACGAAGAUUUUAGGGAUGGAUGUUAAACCAUUGACUUUCAAUUAUGCUGAGCUGAAGAUGGCUACUAAUGACUUCAGUUCUGCUAACAAGUUGGGAGAGAGAGGAUUUGGACUUGUCUACAGGGUAUGUCAUUUCUCUAAUGAAAAUUCAAUUGCCCAACUCAAGAAUUGUUAUGUAAUGUUCCAUACUGCAUUGAGUAGUUGGAACAAAUUUUUAGGUUGACUCGAUACCAGCAAUAGUAUUUGGUUGUACAUAUGAUCCUUUAACUAUUUACACUUCUAAUAUCUUUGCCAUCCUAGAGAUGGUGGAGACAACUGACUUAACAUUAAUGUAGUUGCAGGACUAAUGAGAAUAAUUGCUAGGAUACAUAUGCUUGGGGCACUAAACGGUGUGAAGAUGGACUUGGCAAAUGUUGCUUCCCCUUUGCUUAUAGCUAAGCAAAUAAACUCCCAACAAAGACUAGUGCACAAAGGAUGAUGAAUGGAAUGAUGGAGCAAGUUUCAUGCAUAGUUUACUUUUGUGUAUCUUGUAGGGUUUCUGUUUUUCAUUUUUGAAGUAAAAGAUUAUAAAACUUUAUUAUGUUAUGCUUUCAAAUUUAAGUUAGAACUAAGAUCUCAUGAAGUAGACACAUUCAUGGUUUGAAUUAGUUAUUGUUUAAUGUAAUACUUAUGGUUUAUUAAUCUAUUGAGAAUUACAUUUUAUGAUUAA